GAUGAACGCUGGCGGCGUGCCUAAUACAUGCAAGUCGAGCGAACAGACGAGGAGCUUGCUCCUCUGACGUUAGCGGCGGACGGGUGAGUAACACGUGGAUAACCUACCUAUAAGACUGGGAUAACUUCGGGAAACCGGAGCUAAUACCGGAUAAUAUAUUGAACCGCAUGGUUCAAUAGUGAAAGACGGUUUUGCUGUCACUUAUAGAUGGAUCCGCGCCGCAUUAGCUAGUUGGUAAGGUAACGGCUUACCAAGGCAACGAUGCGUAGCCGACCUGAGAUGGUGAUCAGCCACACUGGAACUGAGACACGGCCCAGACUCCUGCGGGAGGCAGCAGUAGGAGAACUGCCGCAAUGGGCGACAGCCUGACGGAGCAACGCCGCGUGAUUGAUGAAGGUCUUCGGAUCGUAAAACUCUGUUAUUUGGGAAGAACAAAUGUGUAAGUAACUAUGCACGUCUUGACGGUACCUAAUCAGAAAGCCACGGCUAACUACGUG
rnacentral:rRNA from 1 species